rnacentral:rRNA from 1 species
UAAUACGAGGGGUGCAAGCGUUAUUCGGAAUGAUUGGGCGUAAAGAGUGCGUAGGCGGUGCGUUAAGUCUAUUGUUAAAUUCCUUGGCCUAACUGAGGACUCGCAAUGGAUACUGGCGUGCUAGAGGAUGGAAGAGAGAAGUGGAAUUCUCGGAGUAGCGGUAAAAUGCUUAGAUCCCGAGAGGAACACCAAUGGCGAAGGCAGCUUCUUGGUCCAUUCCUGACGCUGAGGUACGAAAGCGUGGGGAGCAAACAGGAUUAGAUACCCUGGUAGUCCACGCUGUAAACGAUAAUCACUAGACGUCAGUCUGGCUUUGCCGGAGUGGUGUCGUAGCUAACGCGUUAAGUGAUUCGCCUGGGAAGUACGGUCGCAAGAUUA